rnacentral:rRNA from 1 species
AGAGUUUGAUCAUGGCUCAGGACGAACGCUGGCGGCGUGCUUAACACAUGCAAGUCGAGCGAGGACGGCCUUCGGGCCGAGUCGAGCGGCGGACGGGUGAGUAACACGUGAGCAAUCUGUCUCCGUGCGGGGGACAACUCGGGGAAACUCGAGCUAAUACCGCAUGGUCGGGGACCCCGAGUGGGGACCCCGGGAAAGGUGGCCUCUUUACAAUGCUGCCGCGCGGAGAGGAGCUCGCGUCCUAUCAGCUAGUUGGUGGGGUAACGGCCCACCAAGGCGACGACGGGUAGCGGGUCUGAGAGGAUGGCCCGCCACAUUGGGACUGAGACACGGCCCAGACUCCUACGGGAGGCAGCAGUGGGGAAUCUUGCGCAAUGGCCGAAAGGCUGACGCAGCGACGCCGCGUGUGGGAGGAAGCCCUUCGGGGCGUAAACCACUGUCAGGAGGGACGAAUUUCCGGGGUGGGAAUACUGCCUCGGGUUGACGGUACCUUCAGAGGAAGCGCCGGCUAACUCCGUGCCAGCAGCCGCGGUAAUAC